ensembl:lncRNA
GUGAGGGGGGAGGAGUCAUCAUCCAGGUAAAGUGACGUGGAUCAGUGAAUACACGUGUCUCCCCUUUAAAGGAGACGAUCCAAGUCAUCCUUAAAUAUGGGCAGCAUAUCAGUCUUGGACUGUCUGACCUGCAGCACUGAAUGACCACCACACAUGAGCAUGUUCCUGCAACAUUUCAGCAUCUGAUCCUUCAUCUGUGUGCUGCUGCUUUUGUGUCACAUGUCAAACAGCUGGAGAGGAAACUACACCAGUGUACUGGGAUGUUUCACCAACACGUGCCAGAUGCUGUUCCUUCAUGGUGACAUCACCAGAGACAGCCCCGCCCACCUCAGGACCUCGCCAUUGAUCAUGAUGAUUAUAAUGAUGACAGCGAGCGGAACUAAGACUGUAAAAAUCCACGACCAGAAUGUUUCUUUCUAAUUAUGAAUGAAUACUGAGAGCCUCUUUCUGUGUUUUGUCUGUUUUGUUUUUUUACCUCAUUUGUUUCUAACAAAGUUCACAAACUCACACAGUUUACAUUCUGUAUGUUUCCAUCUUUACCAGCCACACUAACUGCAUUUAAGAAAAUAAUCCUUAGAAAUCGUCGUUUUUCUCUUUUGUAAUUGAUGAUAAUUCAGUGAAUAUACUGCGC